UACGAAGGACCCGAGCGUUAUCCGGAUUUAUUGGGUUUAAAGGGUGCGUAGGCGGAUUUAUAAGUCAGUGGUGAAAGCCUAUAGCUUAACUAUAGAAUUGCCAUUGAUACUGUAAGUCUUGAGUACAGUUGAGGUGGGCGGAAUGUGCAGUGUAGCGGUGAAAUGCUUAGAUAUUGCACAGAACACCAAUUGCGAAGGCAGCUCGCUAAGCUGUAACUGACGCUGAGGCACGAAAGUGUGGGUAGCAAACAGG
rnacentral:rRNA from 1 species